UUUUUAUAAAAUUAUGUAAUCUAUUAUAUAUCUUAUACUGCAACAAGGGGGUUUGAGGAGCCAAUUAAAUCGUGUCUAAUUACUUAUAUGCCCAUGGAAAACCCAUUAAACCUUGUCCGACUGCUUAUGCCUGUUCACUUGCCGUUGCAUGUUCGUUACCCCUGGUCCCUGGUUUGAGCUUUUUUAUGCAACACUGCCACGCUCGUUUCUCUGCAAUUACAGCCUAGAUCAAAACCUCAUACAAUUAUACACACACACACACACACCCUUCUCAGCUCUCAGCUCUUAGCAUCGCUUCAGGCCGAAUGUCAUAGAGCUGAAACUGGAGAGGAGAGGCAACUGAGGCAACUAGAGAAUUUUACAAGCGGAUCUUUCUCCGCUUAGACUCUAUGAGACUAUAAAUUCCCGGAAGAAGUCUGAGGAGAAGGUGUCUGUAGGACUGUAGCGGUAGAUCUGGAUCAGAUGAAGACUAAAAGAGAGAGGAGUUUGAGUGAGUUGACGCCAGAAAAUAAAUGCGAGGGUAAGAACUCUGGUUGUGGGAAAAAGCAAGCUUAUGAUGGUCGUGCAUUCAGAGCUCUUUUUAAGAGACAAUCAAGCAUUAAAGCUGCUGCAGGUAGUUUAGUUUCUCUAUGCCCUCUUCCCAUAUAAAUCUGUCACUUUCUGAUGUUGGGCUUGAAGAGCCUUCAGCAAUUGCAGAAAAAUUGGUUGUUGACUUAUUCCAAGGGAGUUUGCUGAGCCAUUUUAUUUUAUGUGGCAGCCACGUCAGGCUACACUUGAGAUCCACCUAAGCUAGGUUACUUUUCAAAAUAUUAAUAUUUUUGUUUAAAUUUAACACUGACAUUACUUAACAUAUUAUAGUUUUUUUAUAAGAAUAUUGGAAUUUUCUGCAGAAGCACUUACCUUAGUCACUCAUCAGUCAUCUGAGCAGGUGAGUAGGAAAGAUAUGCACUAGAAACAGGCUCAUUUAUCUAACCAUGGAGUAUGAGAGAAUUCAGAACUUCAGUUUUACGCAGACUAGCCUUAUUUCUCCAACUAAAUUGAGGAUGAAGCCUAUGGGUCACCAGAGGAAAAUAGAUGAUUCUGAUAUUAAAUCAGCUCGUACACAUCCUCAGCUUCAGGAUAUCGAGUUCGUUGAGAACAGCUUAUUAGCUUCUAAUGUUGAUUAUGAUGAGCAAGUGUGUAAUACAGGGAAUGCAUCACUGCAUUCCAGCUUGAGCGGCAUUGUAUCAAAUGGUACUCAAGGGGAUCAGAGUUCUUUUUGGUUAAAGGAAUUUACGUCAGGAACUCCAUAUCGUUGAUUAAGCCUAAGCCUAAUCAACAGUCGAAGUACUGAAAUCUACAUCAAGUAACCUUCUAUAUUCUCACUUCUGGCCUCAUAGCAAUUUCUUUCCUGCAAACCAGGGAUUUUGUCAUAGGCCCCUUUUUGUCUCCCCCACAAGCAGAAUUUAUUUUUACACGGGAAUGUGAUGAAUCAUUAUGUAUGCUCACUGUGGCGCUGUUUGAUUUAAUUGUUUGGAUUUUGAUUAAUUUAUAAGAAAUGAACCGUGAUUAAUUUAUUUCGCUCUGAUAAGCAAGGUCAGUAGUGACAGCAUGAAAUAGUAAGUCUUAAACAUACUUAUAAUUCUUUUUUCCAUCUAAACUGGAUUAGCAUGAACUCUCCAACACUUUAUGGUAAUCCUAUACUUUUACUGACUUCGUGUUAAAUUAAUCUAUUGUUUGAUGCUUAAAAUGAUUUAUUGACUCUGAUGUGUUUUGUUUGCAUUUGACAAAGCAAGGGCAGUUUAAACAUCAAGAUUGAGUCCGACUGAGAGUACUGGUUCUUGUACAGUCCUUGAUUAACAUGCUCUGUGCUAAUUCUCGUAUUCUUUUUUGUUAAGGUAAUAAUACAAUAUGCAGUGGAGUUGCAUAUUGCAAGAUCUCAAUGGCUUACAUGUUCUCUUUAUGGCUGCUAUGGGAAUACUUCUGAAAACAUUAUAGUUACUCGAUUUUAUAAAAGUGUGUAUCGAGGUUCGGGUGAUUUCAAGAGGAAGAGAAUACUUCUAAAAUAUUCAAUAUCAACAAGCUCGAUGAAACAGAGUUGAUGUAAAAAGGUACUGGAUUUAAGCUCAAACAUUCUAUUUUUAUAGCAAUAGAUAGGACUAUGGAUAUAUUCAGUUUAUCUUGACUCGGUGUAGAUCGGAGGAUUGCUUGUGUAAUACUUAUAUUCUGCUAGCGUAGCUAGAUUUUAUUAGGAGCUUAUGUUAAUGCAAAAAAAUGUUGCUAUUGAUUUGCUGCACGACUUGUGAAAAAUUGCUGCUUUUUGAAAAUCAAUUGUGUGGUAUUAUGUAUUGGCGAACUGAUGUUGUAUGCUAGAUUAGUUAAAUAAAAUGACUUAGGUUUAUUUACUACCUGGUACAAGGAGAUCGUUGAAUGAAGGAUGAUACAUGCUUAAAUAUAGGAACACUUGUCUAUUAAUAAUGGUAGUAUCUUUUCCUCGGAAAUUUGAGGCUUAAUGAUCUAUUCUUUCAUAUGUAUAUGAUUCUGCAACCAGUUUGCGAUUGUUUGUGUCAGUUAAGCUACCGCUAACUCUUGCUAAUUCUGCGACUAAUGGGUGGUGGUUUACAUUAUAAAAUUUCUGGUCAGCCUGCAUUGCCGGUAGUGAGGAGACUGUAACUCAUCCAGUAAAAUGCCAAUCCACUAACUGAAAACUGAUCGAUCAAAAUUUAGAGUGUUUAAAAUAACUCAGAUAUGUUUAUUUUUUGCCUAAUCAUCUUGGUCAUCGUACUUAAAUAAGACUAAUAUUAUAAUUACUCAACUUUGUUUAGAGCUUUCAAAAAUUUCUUGUAGUUUUUAUAUUCUGUCUUUGACUGGUUAAGGUUAGCUUAUAGGCCUUAUACAUUUGCUUAGAUUUACAAUACUUUCUCGAAACCAAACCACCUGAAAACAAUUACCAGAAAGUGCAGUCUUUAAUGAUAGCAAUCUAAAUUAUGUUGAAGGAAUAUACAUAUACAAAAACGAUUUUUGGAGGCAGGAUGCUUAAUGCUUGCACAACUUUUAUUCAGAACUUUGUCAAUGCUUUUUUGGGUAUGUAGACUUAAGUUGAAUGCCAAUAAACGUGCAAAAAACUUCAGCUGAAAUGAUACAGGAACACUGGAUGCCACCAAAGGAAGAUGCAUUACUAUUCAAACAACCCAGUAGUUAAAUACAUCAACAAAUUCAACCAGCAAUGAAGCCUCUGCAAACAGUAUACAAUCGGAGAGGUUGGUACUCUCCAAUUUUACUGCUAUAUUAAAAGUUUGUCUAUUUUACUGGUCUUUUUUGCUACAUGUACAUAAGUGCAAGUAUAUAACCAAUAAUAGCAACAUCGAGAGAAUGAAGAAGCUAAAUUGAGGCCUUAGAAGACCACCUCAUAUAGUCAUAUGUCCUUGCUGUCCUUGCUUGGGCAUUGCUUUUAGUUGAUGAUCAUCCCAACUAGAGAGUUUUGGAAGAAGAGAGUAUACAUGAGUGUUAUGGAGUCAUGGAACACAUGAUUCUAAUAAUCUUCCCAUAUUCAAAGUCAUAGAUAGAAAAUCUACUAUUUGUUUGUCAAAUACACGGAAUAAUGUUACGAUCAAAUCUGUAUUACGCUAUUAUUGUGUAGGAGAUUAUAAUUUUACAUGAGAAUUAUAUUCACGGGGAGAUGUAUUUAUCUAAAUGGUACUACAUCGGAAGGAACCUCUUAGAACAGAAAUAUCUCUUGAAAAAUCUGUGGGAGGAGUGUCCAAUGCAAUGGAUAAAACUUUGCAAUGUAGAAAGAUAAACUACCUCUUUCUACCAUUUUACAACAUUUAACACUUAUUUUGAGCAAGUCUUCUCGUUAUCAUAAC